CCUCUGCAGGAAGAGAAAACAGCCAUGGCUUUCACGUCUCAGAAAUCGACCUCACAACCCAGGCCUAGGCCGCCAAGGAGGGAGUAUGAAAGCAGGAAUGCAAGACUUCAUUCACCCAUAUUCCCUUUCAGUGACUCCUUUUGUUUUGUUUUGUUUUGUUUUGUUGUUGUAAAACUAGGGCUGAUCUCACACACUUUUACAGGGCAAAAUUCCAUUUUGUAUGUUCAGGCUCUCCAAAAGCUCCUUACUCCUUGUCUUGGGGAAGUGUUCCAUCCACCUGUCCCAGCAGAAAGACAUCCCAAGCUGAAUGGAAAGACAUAGAAGCCAACAGGGAAAGGAUGCCUCAUAAGCACUCACAUACAUCUAGGAUUUGAGCCCAAAGAAACCUGCCAUCUCUCUCUUAUCAGGAUGUGAUCUCUCAGCUGUUGCUCCAGCACCAUGCCUGCCUACCUGCUACAUGUCCCUUGCUAUGAUGGUCAUAGCCCGUAGCCUUCUGGAACUGUGAACUUUUAUAAAUUGCCUUAGUCAUGAUGUCUCAUCAUGGCAACAGAAAAGUAACUAAGACAGGUUCUCUCUUUGGUUUUGCAUCCUGAAGAUGUCCCUUUGAUCAUAAUAUAUUGACAUAAUGACAUAAAUAAAAUUAUGUUGCAAUGGUCA